rnacentral:misc_RNA from 1 species
GGUGUUUAUAAGAGACAGGUGAAUCAUCGAAUCUUUGAACGCACAUUGCGCCCGCCAGUAUUCUGGCGGGCAUGCCUGUUCGAGCGUCAUUUCAACCCUCAAGCACAGCUUGGUGUUGGGACUCGCGUUAAUUCGCGUUCCUCAAAUUGAUUGGCGGUCACGUCGAGCUUCCAUAGCGUAGUAGUAAAACCCUCGUUACUGGUAAUCGUCGCGGCCACGCCGUUAAACCCCAACUUCUGAAUGUUGACCUCGGAUCAGGUAGGAAUACCCGCUGAACUUAAGCAUAUCAAUAAGCGGAGG